CGUAGGUGGCAAGCGUUGUCCGGAUUUACUGGGCGUAAAGGGCGUGCAGGCGGCUUGUUAAGUGCAGGGUGAAAGCUCCCGGCUCAACUGGGAGAGGUCCUUGCAUACUGGCGAGCUCGAGGGAGGCAGAGGAAAGUGGAAUUCCCGGUGUAGUGGUGAUAUGCGUAGAUAUCGGGAGGAACACCUGUGGCGAAGGCGGCUUUCUGGGCCUUACCUGACGCUGAGACGCGAAAGCGUGGGGAGCGAACCGGAUUAGAUACCCGGGUAGUCCACGCCGUAAACUAUGGCCACUAGGUGUGGGGGGUAUCGACCCCCUCCGUGCCGAAGCUAACGCAAUAAGUGUCCCGCCUGGGGAGUACGGCCGCAAGGCUA
rnacentral:rRNA from 1 species